rnacentral:rRNA from 1 species
UGGGGGAUAUUGCACAAUGGGCGAAAGCCUGAUGCAGCGACGCCGCGUGGGGGAUGAAGGCCUUCGGGUUGUAAACUUCUUUUGCUCUGAACAAGGCAUGCUAAUGGGUGUGUUGAGUGUAGGGGUUGAUUAGCGCCGGCUAACUACGUGCCAGCAGCCGCGGUAAUACGUAGGGCGCGAGCGUUGUCCGGAAUUAUUGGGCGUAAAGGGCUUGUAGGUGGCUGGUUGCGUCUGUCGUGAAAGCUCAUGGCUUAACUGUGGGUUUGCGGUGGGUACGGGCUGGCUUGAGUGCAGUAGGGGAGGCUGGAAUUCCUGGUGUAGCGGUGGAAUGCGCAGAUAUCAGGAGGAAUACCGGUGGCGAAGGCGGGUCUCUGGGCUGUUACUGACUCUGAGGAGCGAAAGCAUGGGGAGCGAACAGG